AGAGAGAAGCUGAUGGAAGUAUCCUGGGUGAUUGCUGAAUUUAAGGAGCAGGAGUAGUCCCAGGGAGUCUUGGGCAGUUUUCCACCAUCUCUAUCCUUGUGGAGAAUCACAACACAUGUGCAAAGAUGAUGUGUGAAUUCAUGAGGCACUCCAUGGCAUCUGUGGACAUGUGUGUCAAGGGAGUUUAAAGACACAUGACUUCGAUGUUACUGAAGAUUGUGUCACAAUCAUCAAAUGGAGCUGGUGCCAAAUAAACCAGAUGGAGCUUUCAAUCAACAAACUGCAUUUAUUUUUGAUAUCUGUGGCUUAUUUGUUACCCAUGCACCUUUUAAUAGGAUAAGGAUUUCUGAGAUAUUAUCACAUGGUUCUAUCAUGGAUACCUUCUGCAGGCACCAGUUUGCCACCAAAGACACUAAUCACGGAAGAAAGUGGUAUAGAAACUUGUAUUGAUGUUUUGCCUUUCCAAAGGAAGUAAAUGACAGCAAAGCAUAUUUCAAGGUCUGGUUGCCAACAUACUCAAUUAAGCAGAGUUUGGAGGAGGAGGAGAAGGAGGAGGGGGAUGGCUGGAAACUCCCAGUCAUACUACAAAUGACAGCUAUCUGCUGUCAGAGACCUGGUGACGUUGAACCAAACUGUGAAAUAUGUGUAAUUCCUCAAAUAUCACUGAUGAUGAAGCACCAGAUUUUUAUUUUUUUCCAUGUGGAUGUGACUGCUUUUGACCAUGACAGGUUUUCAUAAAUCUGGUGUCAUUAUAGAACACAUGACUUGUGUCACCACUGCUACAACAAGAGAAAUCCAUCACAGAUCAAAGUGCCAGGAGAAGUCAUAUUCACUAUAUAAGCCCCACUUAAGCUUUCCAAAUACAGCUUGAGUGGAAUUUAAGUGGGCCAUAGACCAUGUUUCUGCUCCUAUACACAGGCAUGAAUUUUACAAUUUGAAAACAAAACUAAAAUAAAAAGCAUUUUCUUAUAUAACA
rnacentral:lncRNA from 1 species